rnacentral:lncRNA from 1 species
AAGAUGUAUAAUAAAUUUACCUCUUGCGCCACAGGUCUCAUUUGAAACAAAGAGUUAUUCGACAAUAAAUGCUUGACAAAUUGGCAAUAAUUAGAUCCUUUUAAUAAUACAAAUUGAAAGAAACAUAGCUUCAAACUAUGUAAUAGAGUUUUCAAAAUGCGGGCAUUCUCCCUAUAUAAUUUUGCUAUGUAAGUUGGAACUUAGGAAUCCAUGUCCCGGUUUAUCCUUGAUACAUUGUUGGUAACUCAUCUCCCAGUCUAGAUCCAUAACAUUUUGCCCUUCACAGCCCCUUUAUAGUCUUGACGUACUGGUUUUCAAUGUCACGCUGGGAACACCAUUCCUGAUCAAAUAAUAGCAUGCUAUAGAUAUCGAGCAAUAAUAUAGUGUGAAUAACUUAACAUGGAAAUAUGAUAGUAAGACUAAUGGAACACAAAGUAUACCUCCUGCAAUUUCUUCCAUCUUCCUUUCCAUUCUACAGGAAAAGGUUGCAACAUGAGGAAUAGCCUACAGAAAUAGAUAGUAUCGAAUACUGCACAAGUCAAUAAAAAUGUUACUGCUAGCCAUAGUGCAUACAUUCUAUCUCUUAUUGUACUUUUUGCAUCCUACUACGACUCAGAGCACAUACAUGACAUAUCCUGGUAAUGCCAAAUUGUUGUUUGCAACUUUACUGGUAAAUCAAUUCAGUUUACAUGCAACUAAUAAAAAUUUCCAGGGAAAUGUUGUAGUGAUAUCAUGGUGGUGCAAGCAUAGAAGUUGUUACAGAGUGGAAAGAACAGUCUAGAUUUUCAGUACUGAAGUUUUCCGGCCUAGUAUUGCAGAAAGCUAAAGUUUAUUAAGAGCAUUAUCUCCCAACACACAUAAGGAACCCAAAAGCUGCAAACAGUGAUAUGCCUAAAAAAUUACAGCAUAUUAUUAGCUGAAAGAUCUAGAUGUUGUGUGAUAUGUGACAGAAUACUCAUUGUAUGAUGUACAUGAGGAGGUUUGUGAGCAAAUUGACACACUGUUAAAUGAGUCAUAGGACAGUACUAGAUAGAGCAUUCACUCCUUCAAAAUGUAUUCAAUAAACUGAAAGAGAAAUGCAUCAUGUUACAGGUGUAGCCAAGUACAGUUGAAAGCGAACUUGAUAUAGCUUUGUAAAGUUGAAAGUAUAAAACUUCAUACAAGGUAAAGCAAGUCAAAUCAGAGGGGAAAGGAGGGCAGCAACAUGCACCUGGAGCAAGAGGGGGCACAAUCUCGUGUUGUGGCUUU